rnacentral:tRNA from 1 species
UGCCCGAUGGUGUAGUGGUAGCACAAACGACUCUGACUCGUUUAGCCAUGGUUCGAGUCCAUGUCGGGCAACCA